rnacentral:rRNA from 1 species
ACGCACGCUGGCGGCCUGCCUAACACAUGCAAGUCGAACGAAGCCUUCGGGCUUAGUGGCGCACGGGUGCGUCACGCGUGGGAAUCUGCCCCUUGCUUCGGAAUAACAGUUAGAAAUGACUGCUAAUACCGGAUGAAGUCUUCGGACCAAAGAUUUAUCGGCAAGGGAUGAGCCCGCGUAGGAUUAGGUAGUUGGUGGGGUAAAGGCCUACCAAGCCGACGAUCCUUAGCUGGUCUGAGAGGAUGAUCAGCCACACUGGGACUGAGACACGGCCCAGACUCCUACGGGAGGCAGCAGUGGGGAAUAUUGGACAAUGGACGCAAGUCUGAUCCAGCAAUGCCGCGUGAGUGAUGAAGGCCUUAGGGUUGUAAAGCUCUUUUACCAGGGAUGAUAAUGACAGUACCUGGAGAAUAAGCUCCGGCUAACUCCGUG